rnacentral:rRNA from 1 species
AUUGAACGCUGGCGGCAGGCCUAACACAUGCAAGUCGAACGAGUGGCGGACGGGUGAGUAAUGUCUGGGAAACUGCCCGAUGGAGGGGGCUAACUACUGGAAACGGUAGCUAAUACCGCAUACCAUCGGAUGUGCCCAGAUGGGAUUAGCUAGUGGGUGGGGUAACGGCUCACCUAGGCGACGAUCCCUAGCUGGUCUGAGAGGAUGACCAGCCACACUGGAACUGAGACACGGUCCAGACUCCUACGGGAGGCAGCAGUGGGGAAUAUUCGGCAAUGGGCGAAAGCCUGACGCAGCCACGCCGCGUGUAUGAAGAAGGCCUUCGGGUUGUAAAGUUCUUUUAGCGAGGAGGCGGUACUCGAAGAAGAAGCACCGGCUAACUCCGUGCCAGCCGCCGCGGUAAUAC